rnacentral:rRNA from 1 species
GGAAGGUCCGNGCGUUAUCCGGAUUUAUUGGGUUUAAAGGGAGCGUAGGCCGGAGAUUAAGCGUGUUGUGAAAUGUAGACGCUCAACGUCUGCACUGCAGCGCGAACUGGUUUCCUUGAGUACGCACAAAGUGGGCGGAAUUCGUGGUGUAGCGGUGAAAUGCUUAGAUAUCACGAAGAACUCCGAUUGCGAAGGCAGCUCACUGGAGCGCAACUGACNCUGANGCUCGAAAGUGCGGGUAUCAAACAGGAUUAGAUACCCUGGUAGUCCACNCAGUAAACGAUGAAUACUAACUGUUUGCGAUACNCUGUAAGCGGNNCAGCGAAAGCGUUAAGUAUUCCACCUGGAGAGU